UAUGAUGAUGAAAUAAAUGCACAUUUAC
rnacentral:sRNA from 1 species